ensembl:snRNA U1 U1 spliceosomal RNA
AUACUUACUUGGCAGGGGAGAUACCAUGAUCAUGAGAGUGGUUUUCCCAGGGCGAGGCUUAUCCAUUUCAGUCGGGAUAUGCUGACCCCUGCAAUUUCCCCAAAUGUGGGAAACUGGAGUGCAUAAUUUGUGGUAGUUGCGGACUUUAUUCAUGCUUUCCCCUU